AAAAAGAGGGCCCGAAGUCUCGCGCAGCUCUUGAUGUGAAGCGCAGACACUCUGGACGCUUCCGCGCCGCGAAGUUGCCCAAGCAGCGGCUGUCAUGAGCGGUGCCAACGCUCCUAGGCCAGAGACUCUGGCGGCAGUCAGGAAGCAGGCGCAGCAGAUCGGCCGCCGCAAUCCCUCCUACCUGCUUGAGGCUAGCGCGUCGCCCUAGGCCAAGCGAUCACAUCCAACAGCGCCAGCAUCGAGACUUGAUUAGCGAUUCGUGCAGUGAUCGACAAUGUAGUGCUGGCUGCCUCGCCAAGGUCGGGAACCUGAGUUCUUUACAGCUGUGGGCGCGAUACUGGAACGGUUUCGCAUCGCCAACCCCAUCGCGGCCUCGGGCAUGAAUACGCUAAAACCAACCAACAGCAUAGACGCUCUGUCGCUCGCCUCCGGCCUGACAGCUUUCCUCGGCGAUGAGUACGAAGGCCGGAAUGGAGAGCGGGCUGCACGCAACUCUCCCCAGACAUAAGCCGACUUGACCCCAGCCGAAAGGCGGACGGAGUUGAUACCACGCCAAUUCGUGGGCAUGGUAUUGCACUUCACGCACUCUAUGCAGACGCCCCGCUUAAACGCCGCUGAGGUGUUCGACAUCAUGGCAGCCAGCAGAGCCGUAGGCGGGCUCGGGUGGGGUGACUCCAUCCCUUAUGUGCCCACUACCGCCCCCUUCCCAUUUGGAGGCUGAUGCGCGAUACCGGUGUACGCGAUCAGGUCGUGGUCGGUGUCUUCGCGUGUCACAGCUUCAGGCCGUUGGGCGGCUUCCCGUUGGCCCCAGAGGAGUUGGAAGGUAAGGGAUGCGGGGGCUUCCGCCGUCUCUCGGAAGUGGGGAGAGGGAGCGACCAAUCUAUGCCUUGCGACAGCGGUGGGCCGAGAUGAGCUCGGCGAGCAAACACAUUGAUGUUCAGGCCACAUAACUUUUCGCUUCAACCGCGAAACACGCUGCACAAUCCGGUCCGUGAGCACACGCAAUCCUGCACCUCCGCCUCCAGAACGAAUAGACCCUCUAGGUGAUGGCGAUCGUGGGUGUUUCUGCUGACCAGACACCAGUUGCCGAUGUCCAGAGAGGCGUAAACGGCUACAGCAGCAUCGGACGAGACUUCGGUCGAAACCCGCUUCAUUGUAUCGCAGACGAACUCACGAUUCGCAAACAAACGCCCGUAAUCUUCUUUGGCGUCGACGGACCGACACAUCCGGCCGAUGCGCUGUCGCGCAACUUUGGGGUAGACACCUCUGGUGAGGUGAAGGGAUGCGCAGCCGCUUUCAUGUGAAGCCCUCGACUCCUGGAAGCGCACUCGCUACGUGCGGAGAAAGAGGUAGCGCAGUGCUCGGCGUUUGUGUGUGUGUGUGCGUGUGUGUGUGGAGGGUGAUGGGGCUGACGUGCUACACCAAAGCCGAGGAGCGCGGCUGGUAAUAUGGACGAACGGGAGUUAGGGAGGGCGCUGAUGGUGGUGGGGAAGCCAGCCCUCGUCUGGAAGCAGUGCAGAGCCCUUUCUUCUGCCCUCCUUGAGGCGCGAAUCUCACAGCCAACCGACAUGGAGGAGAGGCGUAAGCGAAGGUGAAGAGGAGGAUGGAAAGCGAGCGAAGACCACACCGGCGUGCGAGCUGGAGGCAUGUGUGUGCAAAACGCCGCUGCACUGUAGGAGAAACACCUCUUUCCCUUUUUGGCGCGAGCACAGGUGGAGGCGGCAACCAUAAAAGAGAUGUGGUGCCUCGCUUCCUCUCUCUUUUCGUAUGCGUGUGCCUGAAUGCGUGUAUUGAUCUGAGCUGCUCUUCACACGCCUGCUGACGCACUGCGGCUGGGCUUCGGUGAGCGCUGCUUUCCUUCACUGUUUCCGUACCUUACCGCAUGCUCAGCACUUAUUCCUUUUCUUGUCACCCCUACCCCCUCCCUCGUCCCUCAG
rnacentral:misc_RNA from 1 species